UGAAACAAAGCAAAGGGGGACGACCCGGCGGUUGACGGCCAGGCGGUGGCUGAGCGCGGCACCCUGGCGCCCGCAGCCGCCCGCACCGCCCACUGAGGCUCGCCACGCCGGCUCGCCGCUUCCAGGCCACCCGCCGGCUCCUCCACGGCAGCCGCGGGCACCGCCUGGGCUUGCGUGACACCAGGCACCCGCCCGGGCCGCAGAAGGAGGAAAUUCCCUACAAAAUAGCAAUGGUUCCGAGAAAAGGAUCACAACAAAAUAUUGAAUAAAUUCCCUUUUAAUUUAUUUGAUCAUUCCACAUUACGGGGCUAUGAAUUGCUCAAAUUUGAUAACAAGUACUCAAUUCAACUCAUUAUGAAAGAGAUGUUGCUAUGUCAUCCUACACAGUUCAGGGCCAACUGAAUGAAAAUACUACAUCCUGGCAUUUUUAGAUGGAAUGGCUGCAGAAAAAAUUAUAAAGGGAAGCCUGUUGUGGCUUAGAUGUGAAAUGCUCCUCUACAGGCUGAAGCAUUUGGUCCCCAGCUGAUGACAUUAUGCUGAGAAGUUGCAGAUUCUUUGGAAGGAAGCCAUUUGUUGAGCAGCAGACCUUGAGUUAUACAGCACAGCCCCAUUUCCCAUCCCCUUUGCUUCUUAUUUCAGUGAGAUGCGAGCCGGCUAUGAGUCCCAGUGGCUGCCAUGAACCAGCUUGCCCACCAUGCCUUCCCACCAUAAUGGGCUUCAUCUUCUCAACCCACCAGCCAAAGCGAGUCCUUUCUCCCCUUCCUUGCUUUGUCAAGUAUUUGGUCACAGGGACUAGAAAAGCAAUUCGUAUCAAUCCGUUAUGGAGAGCAUCUCCCUACCUCGUUCUGGUAGCCCUGUGUCCAAGGGUGGAUACCACUCUCUCCCAAAGCAGUCUGUCACAGUUUUCAACAGUUUUGCUAGAAGGUUCCUCCUUAUAUCAGACUUCCACAUGCAGUUCCUUUUGAGCAUUAGCGGUCAGCGCAUAUGUCCUUCCUGACUUAGCUUUUUAUAAGAAAGCGUUUGGCCUUUGCCUGUCCUGCACAUCCCUCUGGAGACACUCUGGUUUGUAUACACUCUUCUUGGAGCAUGGAACCCUGAGUGGGAGACCAGUUUUAGAUAUGGGUUGAGUAGUUCAGAGUAAAGGAGGGCCCGCAGCUCCCUCGCCCUAGCCUAAAACCCUAUUAGAUUAUUUGGCCCCGCUGCCACUGAGCUUGUAGUCGAUUCAGACGCUGGGUCUUCAGGGAUUUUUUACCUGUUUUGUAAAUGCUGCCACUGGCUUGUGCUUAUCUCAUCUGAACUCGCACAAUUGAUUUUCUGGACCCCUGGGUAGAAGCUUGCAUUCAUUCUGGUUAUACUUGGUCUUGUGUUUAGCUCAUUUCCUUACCCUUGGCGAGGACUUGUUGAGCCCCAGCUCUCUCCCCGAUUAGCAUCAUCUGCAGUUUUGAUGACUAUAUGUUCUGUUCCAUCUUUCAGAUUUCUAUAAAUGCCAAACAGGAAUAGGUUAAGGUUGGAUUUUUUCCCCUCCUUCCCCGCCUUUCUCUUUCUCUCUUAUGGUUUCCCUGUUAGCUGGGCCUAAAAAGUUGAGAGGCAUCUCUCUAGGGCCUGAUGCCUUCCAUGAUCAUAAGCACCCAUACCAGCAUACCCUUGAAAGAUAGUCAUUCAGUUGGUUAAGAAACCAACAAAUGGUCCUGGCACUGUAGUCCUCCCCCUCUUGGCAGCUCUAUAGAAUGUAAUAAAAGGCAAGCAUAUCC